GAUGAACGCUGGCGGCGUGCCUAAUACAUGCAAGUCGAGCGAACAGAUGAGGAGCUUGCUCCUCUGACGUUAGCGGCGGACGGGUGAGUAACACGUGGAUAACCUACCUAUAAGACUGAUAUAACUUCGGGAAACCGGCGCUAAUACGGGAUAAUAUAUUGAACCGCAUGGUUCAAUAGUGAAAGACGGUGUUUCUGUCUCUUAUCGAUGGAUCCGCGCCGCAUUAGCUAGUUGGUAAGGUAACGGCUUACCAAGGCAACGAUGCGUAGCCGACCUGAGGGGGGGAUAGGCCACCCUGGAACUGAGACACGGUCCAGACUCCUAAGGGAGGCAGCAGUAGGGAAUCUUACGCAAUGGGCGAAAGCCUGACGGAGCAACGCCGCGUGAGUGAUGAAGGUCUUCGGAUCGUAAAACUCUGUUAUUAGGGAAGAACAAAUGUGUAAGUAACUAUGCACGUCUUGACGGUACCUAAUCAGAAAGCCACGGCUAACUACGUG
rnacentral:rRNA from 1 species